UACGUAGGGUGCAAGCGUUAAUCGGAAUUACUGGGCGUAAAGCGUGCGCAGGCGGUGAUGUAAGACAGUUGUGAAAUCCCCGGGCUCAACCUGGGAACUGCAUCUGUGACUGCAUCGCUGGAGUGCGGCAGAGGGGGAUGGAAUUCCGCGUGUAGCAGUGAAAUGCGUAGAUAUGCGGAGGAACACCAGAGGCGAAGGCGGCGACCUGGACAGUUACUGACACUCAACUACGAAAGCGUGGGGAGCAAACAGG
rnacentral:rRNA from 1 species